rnacentral:rRNA from 1 species
AACGAACGCUGGCGGUAUGCUUAACACAUGCAAGUCGAACGAAUCCUUGGAGCUUGCUCCAAGUGAAUGAGUGGCAAACGGGUGAGUAACACGUGGGAAUCUACCCAUCAGUACGGAACAACAUUUGGAAACAGAUGCUAAUACCGUAUAUUCUCGAGAGAGGAAAGAUUUAUCGCUGAUGGAUGAGCCCGCGUAAGAUUAGGUAGUUGGUAGGGUAAUGGCCUACCAAGCCGACGAUCUUUAGCUGGUCUGAGAGGAUGAUCAGCCACACUGGAACUGAGACACGGUCCAGACUCCUACGGGAGGCAGCAGUGGGGAAUAUUGGACAAUGGGCGAAAGCCUGAUCCAGCAAUACCGCGUGAGUGAUGAAGGCCUUAGGGUUGUAAAGCUCUUUUAGCAGGGAAGAUAAUGACGGUACCUGCAGAAAAAGCCCCGGCUAACUCCGUG